GCCCCGCUGGUGUUGCCGUGAAAAUGUCACUGCGUGGACUUUUUUUUAGUCGAGGCUGCGUUCGAGGACCCCGCUGGCACCUUCCAGAAGCCACGUCGUGUCCGCCGAGACACGCGCGAGGAAGUGAUGAGGCGUUCACUGACGGAGGACGUGGCGAAUCUCUGUGAGUUUCUUCAACUUCUAUGAUUGACAUUUUUAGUGAUCAACGCCACAAGCCCCGCCCCCUCUAAACGGCGACAUGAACCUGCUGCUUGUUCAUCCACCACUCGAUGGGUCCUUGUUGGCGUGUGCCAUGUCUUGUGUCCGCAGGUAACCGGGGCAACACACUCUCUGGCAGGAGGAAAUGUAACACGCAGGCUGAUGUCAAUCUCUAAAGUCCACAUUUCACGCUGUGGAAACAUCUGCUGCAGACGUAACGAGGAGGUAGGAGCUCGUCCGAUUUUAGGUCUUGCUCUGGACAUUUUCAAUCUGCUCAAUAACACAGGUGUCAAACUCAAGGCCUGCGGGCCAAAUCUGUAGCCCGUCCCUUAAUUUUAAUGAUUCAUUUAAUGUUGCCUUCCAUGUCAUUUUUAAAAUGGCUCGCCACGUCAUUUGUCAUUUCGUCAUUCACCUCUUUUUAAUAAGACCCGCCAAGGCGUUUUAUGUAGUCCGUUAAAUUCUUUAAAGUGGCCUGCCACAUCCUUUUUUUAAUGUAGCCCACCACAUCAUUUUACGUAGUCCGCCACGUCAUCUAAUGUUGCCUUCCGUGUCGUUUUAAAAGUGGCCUGCCACAUCAUUUUAUGUGGUCCCAAUGCCAUUUAAUGUGGCCCACCAUAUCAUUUUUAAAGUCGCCCGCCACAUCAUUUAAAGUGGCAUACCACAUAAUCCUAAUGUGGCCCACCACAUCAUUUUAUGUGGCCCUCCACUUAAUUUUAUGUGGCCCCCACGCCAUUUAAUGCGGCUCCCUACGUCAUUUAAUGCGGUCUGCCACAUCAAUUAAUUUGGCCCUCCACAAAAAUUAACGUGUCCAGCCACCUCUUUUUAAUAAGACCCGCCAAGGCGUUUUAUGUAGUCUGUUACAUUAUUUAAAGUGGACUGCCACGUUCUUUUUUAAAUGUAGCCCACCACAUCAUUUUAUGUGGUCCCCAUGUCAUUUAAUGUGGUUCACCAUAUAAUUUUUCAUGUGGCACGCCACAUCAUUUAAAGUGGCCCCCACGUCAUUUAAUGUGGUCUGCCACAUCAAUUAAUUUGGCCCUCCACGACAUUUUUUAACGUGUCCAGUCACCUCUUUUUAAUAAGACCUGCCAAGGCGUUUUAUGUAGUCCGUUAAAUGUUUUAAAGUGGCCUGCCACGUCCUUUUUUUAAUGUAGCAAACUACAUCAUUUUACGUAGUCCGCCACAUCAUUUAAUGUUGCCUUCCGUGUCGUUUUAAAAGUGGCCUGCCACAUCAUUUUAUGUGGUCCCAACGCCAUUUAAUGUGGCUCACCAUGUCAUUUUUAUAGUCGCCUGCCACAUUAUUUAAAGUGGCAUACCACAUAAUCCUAAUGUGGCCCCCACGCCAUUUAAAGCGGCUCCCUACGUCAUUUAAUGCGGUCUGCCACAUCAAUUAAUUUGGCCCUCCACAAAAAUUUACGUGUCCAGCCACCUCUUUUUAAUAAGACCCGCCAAGGCGUUUUAUGUAGUCUGUUACAUUAUUUAAAGUGGACUGCAACUUUUUUAAAUGUAGCCCACCACGUCAUUUUAUGUGGUCCCCAUGUCAUUUAAUGUGGUUCACCAUAUAAUUUUUCAUGUGGCACGCCACAUCAUUUAAAGUAGCCCCCCACGUCGUUUAAUGUGGUCUGCCACAUCAAUUAAUUUGGCCCUCCACGAUAUUUUUUAACGUGUCCAGUCACCUCUUUUUAAUAAACCCCGCCAAGGCGUUUUAUGUAGUCCGUUAAAUGUUUUAAAGUGGCCUGCCACGUCCUUUUUUUAAUGUAGCCCAACACAUCAUUUUACGUAGUCCGCCACGUCAUUUAAUGUUGCCUUCCGUAUCGUUUUAAAAGUGGCCCGUCAAGGCGUUUUAUGUAGUCCGUUACAUUAUUUAAAGUGGACUGCCACUUUCUUUUUUAAAUGUAGCCCACCACAUCAUUUUAUGUGGUCCCCAUGUCAUUUAAUGUGGUUCACCAUAUAAUUUUUCAUGUGGCACGUCAUUUAAUGUGGUCUGCCACAUCAAUUAACUUGGCCCUCCACGACAUUUUUUAACGUGUCCAGUUACCUCUUUUUAAUAAGACCCGCCAAGGCGUUUUAUGUAGUUUGUUAAAUUUUUCAAAGUGGCCCGCCACAUCAUUUUACGUAGUCCGCCACGUCAUUUAAUGUUGCCUUCCGUGUCGUUUUAAAAGUGGCCUGCCACAUCAUUUUGUGUUCCCAACGCCAUUUAACGUGGCUCACCAUGUCAUUUUUAAAGUCGUCCGCCACAUCAUUUAAAGUGGCAUACCACAUAGUCCUAAUGUGGCCUGCCACAUCUUUUUUUUAAUGUAGCCCACCACAUCAUUUUAUGUGGCCCUCCACUUAAUUUAAUGUGGCCCCCACGUCGAGAGAAGGUUCUAGAAAAGACGAGCAAAGGGGGAAAGAGAGAGAAGGUUCUAGAAGGGACGAGGAAGGAGAGAGAGAGAGAGAGAGAGAGAGAGAGAGAGAGAGAGAGAGAGAGAGAGAGAGAAGGUUCUAGAAGGGACGGGCAAAGAGAGAGACAGAGAAGGUUCGAGAAGGCACGAGCGAAGGGAGAGCGCGAGAGAAGGUUCUAGAAAGGACGAGCAAAGGGGAGACAGAGAGAAGGUUCUAGAAGGGACGAGCAAAGAGAGAGAAAGAGAGAAGGUUCGAGAAGGCACGAGCGAAGGGAGAGCGCGAGCUUAGGUUCUAGAAAGGACGAACAAAGGCGAGACAGAUAGAAGGUUCUAGAAGGGACGAGCGAAGAGAGAGAGAGAGAGAGAGAAGGUUCGAGAAGGCACGAGCGAAGGGAGAGCGCGAGAGAAGGUUCUAGAAAGGACGAACAAAGGUGAGACAGAGAGAAGGUUCUAGAAGGGACGAGCGAAGAGAGAGAGAGAGAGAGAAGGUUCGAGAAGGCACGAGCGAAGGGAGAGCGCGAGAGAAGGUUCUAGAAAGGACGAGCAAAGGGGAAAUAGAGAGAACGUUCUAGAAGCACGAGCAAAGGAAGAGAGAGAGGAGGUUCUAGUAGGGCCGAGCAAAGGGAGAGCGAGAGAUAGAGAGAGAAGGUUCUAGAAGGGACGAGCCAGGUAGAACCAGGACGUCCGUGAUGUUAGGCCCUCUGCUAGCGAUGAGGCGUUAGCGCGAGGAGAGGCUAGCAGCCACACGGAAGCAGAGAGAAUUAAACGCUGCGUCACGCUCAGGAAGCAGCAGAAGAAGAAGAAGAGCGUGAGCGUGCACGUGAGCGUGCACGAGGGCGUGUGUGCGUGUGUGUGUGUGUGUGUGUGUGCGCUCCCUGGGUGUUUGUUUUGUGCUGCAAGUGUCGCUAAUAGCAGCACUUGGAAAUAACAGCAGCAGAGACGCAGAGAGAGAGAGAGGUGCAGGAGGGAGGAGGGCGAGCGACUCACACACAAGAGAGAGAGAGAGAUUUUUUUUUUUUUUUUUUUUUAAUUUUUUUUUUUUAGUUGCUACCUCACUUUUUCAUGUGCGGACAGAAAAUAACAAGUCAUGGAGUUUUCCUCCUCAAGUGGACAUCUUCUUCCUGCUUGGUACUUCCUUUGCUCUUCCUGUCACUCCAGCUAUUACACAAGAACGUGUGUGUGUGUGUGUGUGUGUGUGUGUGUGUGUGUGUGUGUGUGUGUGUGUGUGUGUGUGUGUGUGUGUGUGUGUGUGUGUGUGUGUGUGU